CUCAAAGAGAAUGAAAGCAUAAAUUCUUGUGGCCUCUUCCAAAUCACUCUGAAAGUAAUGGAAGGACUGUUAGUUCAAGAAAUUAGAUCUCAAAAGGAUAACUACCAAUUUUAAGAGCAGCUGGAGGAGCAAAUGCUUCUUUCUGUUCAUUCUGAAGAUGAAAACCAGGUGGUAUGGAGUGUGCUAAGGCAACCACCGGCAGUGCCUGGAAGAGCAACAUAGCAUCGAUGCGAGAAGGUCAGAUGUUGGGGCAAAAUUUCCUGGGGCUUCACAUCCACGAGAUGGUGCCACAGCAUCACUGGAUGGGCAGAGGAAACAGCUUUGAGGAUGUCUACCCAGGGCUGAGGUGUCACCUCUGAAUUAAGUCCACAAAGAACAAACCAAUUCUGAAUAGGCUUUGAGAUGAGGAGGAGACAGAUGUGAGAGCACAUGUGAAAGCUGGCACUGGCUGUGGGAUAAGGAGCCACAGGCAGUCAUCAGUGCCACUGGUGAGUCUGGGAACCAUGUGUUCUUUAAGCAGUAAUAAGUCACUGGGUUUAAUAUUCAUUUUAGGUUUAAAUACCACAACAACUAAUAGCAAUAUGCAUUAUGCAAAAUUGCCACAAUAACCGCAGGCUUCAAAACAAAGAUAAACAAUGCUGUUUUCUUUUCUUUUUCUUUUUUUCUUUUUUUUUCUUUUUUUGUACAAUUACAUAAAAUAAGAUUGAUAACACCUGCUGACAUUUUCUUCCUUAAAAUUCUAGGCCAAUACUGUGCUACUAACUAGAUUUCAAAAGCAGGAGAUGAAAAUGAUAAAUUAAAAGCAAUGCCAGAUUUGUGCAUAUUUAGCUUUCCAUUUCAGAAAUCUCUGUAUUUAUCUACAUGGCCUUCUACUUUUACUAUCUUUUAUUUUGUCUCUCUCUAAUCUCAUUAUUAUAUCUUAACUCUAACCUGUUCUGCUUUUCACAGUAAAGCUUGCUGUAAUCUUUUCUGAUGACAUUAGCAUGGGAAACAUUUUUAUCAAAU
rnacentral:lncRNA from 1 species